rnacentral:rRNA from 1 species
GGGUGAGUAACACGUGGGUUACCUACCCUUAAGUUGGGGAUAACAGUUGGAAACGAUUGCUAAUACCGAAUGUGCUCUACGGAGUAAAGGAGCCCUUAAAGCUUCGCUUAAGGAUGGGCCUGCGGUGCAUUAGCUUGUUGGUGGGGUAAUGGCCUACCAAGGCAACGAUGCAUAGCCGAACUGAGAGGUUGAUCGGCCACACUGGGACUGAGACACGGCCCAGACUCCUACGGGAGACAGCAGUUAGGAAUAUUCGUCAAUGGGGGAAACCCUGAACGAGCAAUGCCGCGUGAGUGAUGAAGGCCCUUCGGGUUGUAAAACUCUGUUGUUUGGAAAGAACUGUAAGAAUAGGAAAUGAUUCUUACUUGACGGUACCAUUCAAGAAAGCCACGGCUAACUACGUGCCAGCAGCCGCGGUAAUACGUAGGUGGCGAGCGUUAUCCGGAUUUAUUGGGCGUAAAGCGUGCGCAGGCGGUUUGUUAAGUCUAAAAUCAAAGCCCGAAGCUUAACUUCGGUUCGUUUUAGAAACUGGCAGGCUUGAGUAUGGUAGAGGCAAACGGAAUUUCUAGUGUAGCGGUAAAAUGCGUAGAUAUUAGAAGGAACACCAGUGGCGAAGGCGGUUUGCUGGGCCAUUACUGACGCUCAUGCACGAAAGCGUGGGGAGCAAAUAGGAUUAGAUACCCUAGUAGUCCACGCCGUAAACGAUGAGUACUAAGUGUCGGG